AACUUAAAGUUCAAUAAAUUGCAGCGGGUAUUAAUCAUGCGGCAAUAAUUAUAAAAAAAAUGUAAUCAAAUUCAUUUUGGCGACAGUAUUCAUGACACAAUACUAAUAACUUGAGAGGGUCCCCAGAAGUAACAUUAAUAGCCUGUACAAACAAACAAUCCUGUUAAUCGAGUUGGGACCUAAGUCAGCGGGAUUAAAGUUGACGUUUGCCUGACAAGUUGCACGUAACAAGGUUUCGCAGUACCAUUGUCUGGUUAAUCCCUUCAGCGUUGUGUCGUGCACUGCGUUAUCUACAAUGCUCGAUUUGGAUUUCAGCACACGUAUAUCCAUUUACUUUUGCGUGGAGUUGAGAAUGGAAAAGUUAUUUGGUUUCUUGUUAUUUAAUUGUACACAUACCUUACAAAUCUAUUUCAUAAGUCUUCCAUCUUUCAUCGGUUGGUUAUUUGCCGUUGAAGCCAUCUCUCGAACUUCACUAUGAUGCAUCGGCAAUUCAUUUACUAUGUCUUAUUUUUCACUCUCACCUGUACGAAGCCCUAUUAUCUCUCGAAGCGUAAUAUCCUCUUCGAACCCUCACAUAUAAGCUCACCUUUGACAUUUAAAAAGUGUCCAGUGAUUAACAGUUGCUGGCGAAAAUAUUUUCCGAGCCAUUUUGGCCCAGUGGUGUCGUGAACGUGAUGAAUAGCUUUAUUUAACAGAAUCCAUUGGGAUGCUGGCAUCCUUUAUCUUCUUUAUGGGCGUUUAUCAAACGGUUACCAAUUGCAAUUUGUGUAUAUCAGAAUUAUUUUUAGAGAUUAAAGGUCAGAUGGACUACCUCACAGAACAUAUAAAGAGAGUAGAAAUGAAAUAGUUCCUGAUUUGUAUCAUAACGCGUGUCGCCGUUUCUCCCACCCUUUAAUUUCACUACAAGCAAGAGACCAAUGUCUGAGCGGAUUACCCCCACAAAUAAAUAACACACAUUUAAGUCUCGAAUUUGCUAUUGGUUGUCACACAAACGCAAUGACUGCAUUUGACGUACACUCUAACACGCAUAAAAACUCAUGUAUGCUAGGGCGAGAGAAAGGUCGAUUGUUGAUAUCGAUAAAAUUUAAGUAAUCUUGUUUUUGUUUUACAAGUAUUGUUGAAUAUUGUGAAAUUGUAUUCAUGCGAAAUAGAAACCAAGUAAUAAAAGUAAAAUAAAUAAAAAAUACAUAACUG